UACGAAGGGGGCUAGCGUUGUUCGGAAUUACUGGGCGUAAAGCGCGCGCAGGCGGUCUUCCAAGUCAGUGGUGAAAGCCCGGAGCUCAACUCCGGAACUGCCAUUGAAACUGUUAGACUUGAGGAUGAGAGAGGUGAGUGGAAUUCCCAGUGUAGAGGUGAAAUUCGUAGAUAUUGGGAAGAACACCGGUGGCGAAGGCGGCUCACUGGCUCAUUUCUGACGCUCAGGCGCGACAGCGUGGGGAGCAAACAGG
rnacentral:rRNA from 1 species